rnacentral:misc_RNA from 1 species
GCAAACUUGGUCAUUUAGAGGAAGUAAAAGUCGUAACAAGGUUUCCGUAGGUGAACCUGCGGAAGGAUCAUUAUUGAAUAAAUCUGACAUGGUUGUAGCUGGCUCUUCGGGGCAUGUGCUCGCCUGUCACCUUUAUCUUUCCACCUGUGCACACACUGUAGUCCUGGAUACCUCUCGCCGCAAGGCGGAUGCAGAGACUGCUGUUCAGCCUCCGAAAGGGGGAGGUCGGCUAUCUCUGAAUUUCCAGGUCUACGAUUAUCACAUACCCCAAUUGAAUGUUACAGAAUGUUAUCAAAGGGCCUUGUGCCUAUAAACCUAUACAACUUUCAGCAACGGAUCUCUUGGCUCUCGCAUCGAUGAAGAACGCAGC